CACAAAACUACUGCAAAACAAAGCUCGCUCUUCUCCUAAAGUGGCCUUGCAGGCAUAAGACUCUUAUGCAGCCAAUGCAUUGGUAUUGGAUGAUGCAUAGCGCACAACCAAAAACGAUAAAAGCAACAAACUGUAGCAUUUGCUUCAAGCUUGUAGAGUUCGAUAACAUUUUAAAUCAACAGGCUAGUUUUCAAAUAAUACAAUACUGCCAUCAGAGGAAGCAUAAACAAAGUAGCCUGCAUCCAAUGUGGGAACUUGAAAUAAAUCAUUUGGUGGCUUUUUUGGAUCUAGUUAGUCAUCGUGUCCUCAUACCAGAACCAUUGUAACCGUUCUGUACAAGCAUAUGUAUAUAAAAGAUUAACCAAUGGUCAUUAAAUGGUAUAGGUAUACUACUUCACAAACGAUCACUUAAGGGUCAACUUCUCCAGCCAACCAUCCCACUGGCCGCAGUUUUACUUGAGACAGUAGUCGAUCCCCUGUCAUACAUGCGCUGAAUCUCUUCCCUGCACUCUGUCAAACAUUUGUCAGGUAUGGCUGGAGUCAGCUCCACCACAUCCCCCAUCUUCAGCUUGCAUGUAGGAUCACUCAAUGGCUUGUGAUUCAACCUUGGCCUCAAUUCUUCCUUUACAGGAAACCCAUAUGGAGACCAUCUUGAGCUUCCCCGCCCAACCCUUUCCAGCAAAUCCAUCAUAUUUGAAUUUGCAAGAAACUCUUGCACUGACAUCUUGUCAUUCUCAAUUAUGAUGACAAAGACAGGUCCAUUCUGGCCACAGUGAGGCUUGUAGGAAAAUGGGCAAUCAUCAGAAUGAGUAGGGAAUGCACAGGGAGGCUUUAUGGAAUCAGCACAGCCAUUGGAAGAUCGGUCUUUGCUCAUUGCCUCACACUGCCAGGUUACAACCCAUCGUGCCCACUCAACCAUCUGAAGCACAAAUGAAGAGUGCUUGCAAUCACCUUCCUUGUAUCUCCAAUGAGCUGCAAAUCCAAAUUCAGCUUGCAAAUGCAUCUCCUUCGUACGGAUUUGAACUUCAAGUGGCACCAUUCCUUCAGGCCUUACAACGGUAUGGAGAGAUUGAUAUCCAUUGAACUUGGGAUGUUUUAUGUAGUCUUUGAAUUUUCCAGGUACUUCAGACCACAACUGGUGAACAACUUUCAAUGCUCUAUAACAAUCUUCCUCAUUUUCAACAAUCAGACGUAGACCAUGAAUAUCAUGAAUCUCAUCCAUCUUCAG
rnacentral:misc_RNA from 1 species